GCCGGUUUGGCUUAAUGGUAAAGCAUGCAUCUUGUAAACACAAAAUUGGAGUUCAAUUCUAUAAAUUGGCA
rnacentral:tRNA from 1 species